ACUGUCCCUAUCUACUAUCUAGCGAAACCACAGCCAAGGGAACGGGCUUGGUAAAAUCAGCGGGGAAAGAAGACCCUGUUGAGCUUGACUCUAGUCCGACUUUGUGAAGAGACAUAGGAGGUGUAGCAUAGGUGGGAGCUUCACGGCGCAAUUGAAAUACCACUACUUUUAUCGUUUCUUUACUUAUUCAGUGAAGCGGAGAGCGGCGUGCAAGCGCCUCCUUUCUGGACUCAAGCGUCCGGCCCUCGCGGUCGGACGCGAUCCGCUCUGAAGACAGUGUCAGGCGGGGAGUUUGACUGGGGCGGUACAUCUGUCAAAAGGUAACGCAGGUGUCCUAAGGUGAGCUCAGUGAGAACGGAAAUCUCACGUAGAGCAAAAGGGCAAAAGCUCACUUGAUCUCGAUUUUCAGUACGAAUACGGACCGUGAAAGCGUGGCCUAUCGAUCCUUUUGACUUUACGAGUUUUAAGCAAGAGGUGUCAGAAAAGUUACCACAGGGAUAACUGGCUUGUGGCAGCCAAGCGUUCAUAGCGACGUUG
rnacentral:rRNA from 2 species